UUUUAUAUAGUUUAAAAUAAAACAAUUCAUUUUCAAUGAAUAAAAGAAUUAAUAUAUUCUAUAAAUA
rnacentral:tRNA from 1 species